UUAAAAUGUAAAUCUUUUAAAAACUUAGGUAGUAAUAGUUAUGUUCUUGAAACUUAAAAAAUUUGGCGGUAUUUUAGUCUAUUCAGAGGAACCUGUUUUAUAAUCGAUAAUCCACGAUGGACCUUACUUAAAUUUGUAAUCAGCUUAUAUAUCGUCGUUAUUAGAAUAUUUUAUUAGAAAGUUAAUUUUCAAAAUUUUAUAAAAGAAAAUAUAUCAGAUCAAGGUGUAGUUUAUGUUUAAGUAAAAAUGGGUUACAAUAAAAAUAUUUAUAUGAAUAUAAAUUUGAAAUGUUUAUUGAAGGUGGAUUUGAUAGUAAAAUUAUAAAGAUUAAUAAUUUGAUUUUAGCUCUAAAAUAUGCA
rnacentral:rRNA from 1 species